rnacentral:rRNA from 1 species
UCAUUUAGUUGGGCACUCUAGUGGGACUGCCGGGGAAAACUCGGAGGAAGGUGGGGAUGACGUCAAAUCAGCACGCCCCUUAUGUUCUGGGCUACACACGUGCUACAAUGGCCGGUACAACAGGCAGCGAACCCGUGAGGGGGAGCGAAUCCCAAAAGCCGGUCCCAGUUCGGACUGUAGGCUGCAACUCGCCUACACGAAGUUGGAGUUGCUAGUAAUCGCGGAUCAGAAUGCCGCGGUGAAUGCGUUCCCGGGUCUUGUACACACCGCCCGUCACACCAUGGAAGUUGGGGGUGCCCGAAGUCGGUUAGUUAAUCUAUCGCCUAAGGCAAAACCAAUGACUGGGGUGAAGUCGUAACAAGGUAGCCGUAUCGGAAGGUGCGGCUGGAUCACCUCCUUUCUAAGGA